UCAUAGGUGUAAUGGUUAGCACGUCGGAUUUUGAUUCCGGAGAUAUUGGUUCGAUUCCUAUAUGAA
rnacentral:tRNA from 1 species